AGAGGGAACAGCCAAGAGUUGGGGCCCGGUAGCUGCUGACUACAGCCACAGGAGGAGGGAGAUGCAGAGCCUCACACGACCCAGACUCACACAAAUGCUCCAAGACCAAGAGAUUAAAAAAUAUCCUCAGACAUGUCUGGACACCAGACCCACAGAGCCACAGGUCCAGGACUCCUGCCCUCAAACCACAGACAUGCGUGUCUGGCCAAGGGAAAGGAAAGACACAGUAAGACCCCCCCAAGACCGAACCAUGAAGCCAACCACAGAUACACAAGCCCUGAAAUAUGCAAUUCAGACACACAUAGAUUUGCAGAUCGCGAGAGGCAAUUACGGACAUCCACGCACUGCACCCUGGGAGCCCCCUGAGUCCUGUCAUGAGCCUCACUCACUCUAUUCCAGCUCUGAGCCAGGACCCCAGAAGGGCAUCUAACCCAAGCACUGCCCUGGAGGCUCCACUUCUGAGAACAGGGAGGUGAUCACAGCUCAGCGUGACAGUGAACCAAGCCUGCCGCAGGGCACCGGCACACAUGCUCCCCAGCCUCAGCCAGAUAGCACCAGCCAGAAAGUGAGCCCCCUCGCCUGUCUGCCAAGCCUUCUCUCCCUGUUCACCCAUCACCAUUGCACACCCCUCCAGACCCCGUCCAGGGCUGGGUGCUGGGAAAGCAGCAAUGAUCAAGGCAGCCCUGGGAUCCAUCCCCACUGGGUUCAGAGUCUGGGGGGAGAGGGAGGUCCACUCCAGACCAUGAGCUCACAGGACUGGGAUGGGGGGGCCCCAGUUGGGGUAUGGGAGCACAAAGUAGGUGCCUGACCCGGCCUGGGGGGUCAGGGAGGCACCAAUACUGGGAUCUGAAGCCUGCACAGGAGUGUGUCGCAGCCCCUAGGGAGUUGCCUGCCCAGUAGACCCCGGGGCUGAGAGAAGGGUCAUUCAUCCAGUGAUUUGCUCAGUCUUGACCCUAGGCCACACCCUGCCCUGAUUCAGCUGCGUGACCCAUGUGGACUCCUGCUCUCCGAAGAGGCCCAGGCUGGUGGGAGCAACGGUGGAGAAGGCAAAGCUGAGGAGUCCGAGGGUGCCCAGUGAAGGUUGGCAGUAACGUGUGUUAUGGUUUGGAGGUUUCACACAUCACUAAAUCCAAGGUGCUCGCCAGACACCUUCUUCUUGGUGCCACUAACAAAGAUCUCACCCAUAGAACGAUGCCACGAAAUUUCCUUACUGUUUAAAUUUUUAAUUUCCUAGUUACUGGAGAGCUCCUGGUCAACUUAUUUAGGAAACCCAGAUCCUCAGCACACAUCGGUUGGGGGUACAUGUAACACAACAGCCACGUCUCAUUCUUUGGAGUCACUUUGCCUCUGAGUCAUUGACUUCCACACUGCUCAGCCUCCUCACCUCAGAAGCCCAGAUGAUGCUACUCCAUUGUCACAUCCAGGCAGUGACAGCCACGUCACAAUGGCUUCCUGGCUGACAGUGAUGACAGCACCAUCAUCGGUUACACUUCCUGAUUUCAGAAUGGUUACGAUUAAAAAAGGAAAAAUAAAAAA